CGCAUCUGUGCAUGCAGCAUAUCAAUAAGCGGAGGAAAAGAAACUAACAAGGAUUCCCCUAGUAACGGCGAGUGAAGCGGGAAGAGCUCAAAUUUGAAAUCUUCAAGGUUUUACCUUGACGAAUUGUAGUUUAAAGAAGUGUUUUCUGUUGAAGUUUUGGUAAAAGUUCUUUGGAAUAGGACAUCAUAGAGGGUGAGAAUCCCGUAUUUGACCAUUAUUUUCAGCUGUGUGAUACACUUUCAAAGAGUCGGAUUGUUUGAGAAUGCAGUCCAAAAUGGGUGGUAAAUUUCAUCUAAAGCUAAAUAUUGGCGAGAGACCGAUAGCGAACAAGUACCGUGAGGGAAAGAUGAAAAGAACUUUGAAAAGAGAGUUAAACAGUACGUGAAAUUGUCAAAAGGGAAGCGUUUGACACCAGUGUUGUUUUCUCGAAAAUCAAUUAAAAAGAGUUAGAUUUUGUUGUGUAUUGACCUUAACAGCUUGCAUUUCAAUUUUCUUGCUUUUUUUAAUGCACUUUUCGUUUAACAAGUCAACAUCAGUUUCUUUUGUUGUAAAAAGGUCAUUGGAAGGUGGCUUUCUUUUCGGAGAAAGUGUUUAUAGCCUUUGACUCCUGCAAUCGGAGAGACUGAGGUCUGCAGCGUAGAUCCUUCGGGGUUAGAUACAUUUGUGCUAAGUUAUAGCAUUUUAUAGACAACUUGUUGACUAUGAUUAGUCUUGUAGCUUACUCGCUUAUGCUAUUUUACCUACGCUUAGGAUGUUGAUGUGAUACUGCGAGCA
rnacentral:rRNA from 1 species